CCAAUAGCGUAUAUUAAAGUUGCUGCAGUUAAAAAGCUCGUAGUUGAAUUUCGGGACUAAUAUGUCGGUCGUGCCUCGGUACGUACUGGUAUUUUUGGUUUCUCCCUUCUGACGAACCUUGAUGUCAUUAAUUUGGUGUCUUGGGAAAUCAGGACUGUUACUUUGAAAAAAUUAGAGUGUUUAAAGCAGGCUCACGCUUGAAUACAUUAGCAUGGAAUAAUGAAAUAGGACGUUUGAUUCUAUUUUGUUGGUUUCUAAGAUCGACGUAAUGAUUAAUAGGGAUAGUUGGGGGAAUUAGUAAUCAAUUGUCAGAGGUGAAAUUCUUGGAUUUAUUGAAGACUAACUACUGCGAAAGCAUUUGCCAAGGAUGUUUUCAUUAAUCAAGAACGAAAGUUAGGGGAUCGAAGACGAUCAGAUACCGUCGUAGUCUUAACCAUAAACUAUGCCGACUAGGGAUCGGAUGAUGUUAAUUUUUUAAUGACUCAUUCGGCGCCUUACG
rnacentral:misc_RNA from 1 species